rnacentral:rRNA from 1 species
UACAGAGGGGGCAAGCGUUGUUCGGAAUUACUGGGCGUAAAGGGCGCGUAGGCGGCCUUCUAAGUCAGACGUGAAAUCCCCCGGCUUAACCUGGGAACUGCGUCUGAUACUGGGAGGCUUGAGUAUGGGAGAGGGAUGUAGAAUUCCAGGUGUAGCGGUGAAAUGCGUAGAUAUCGGGAGGAACACCUGUGGCGAAAGCGGCGCACUGGACCACAACUGACGCUGAGGCGCGAAAGCUAGGGGAGCAAACAGG